rnacentral:tRNA from 2 species
CCUUCGAUAGCUCAGUUGGUAGAGCGGUGGACUGUAGCGUUCGGAACAUUCAUUCAGUUAUCCAUAGGUCGCUGGUUCAAAUCCGGCUCGAAGGA